CUGCUCACUCCAGAAAUAUUGAAUCAAAACGUGGAGCAGGAGACAGGCAAGGCCAGUGAAGGAGUGUGGCUCCGAUAGGAUUGACAACUACUACCUUAGAUGAUGAAUCAAGCUCAGAAGGGAUCCCUCUGGAUUUCCCUGCGCCAUGUAAGAAGUGCCUGCUUUCCCUUUGCCUUCUGCUAUGAUUGUUUCCUGAGGCCUCCCCAGUCAUGUUACCUGUACAGCCUGCAGAACUGUGAAGAAACCGAGGCAAUGAACAAAGUAAUAUACCCAAGAUCACAUUGCCAGUGAAUGGGAGAGCUGACGUUUCAAUCUACACAGAACCUGUGCUCUUAGCUAUCUAACCGCUUUACUUGGAAGUGAUGUGAGAUU
rnacentral:lncRNA from 10 species